GACUGAAACUGAACCAGCUCAGUCGGUAGAGCAUGAGACUCAAUCUCAGGGUCGUGGGUUUGAUUCCCACAUUAGUCA